UAGGUAAACUGGAACCUUGAGGACAUG
rnacentral:piRNA from 1 species